rnacentral:rRNA from 1 species
CCUACGGGAGGCAGCAGUGGGGAAUAUUGCACAAUGGGCGAAAGCCUGAUGCAGCGACGCCGCGUGAGGGAUGACGGCCUUCGGGUUGUAAACCUCUUUCAGUAGGGAACAAGGCCAGACGUUGUCUGGUUGAGGGUGCUUGCAGAAGAAGCGCCGGCUAACUACGUGCCAGCAGCCGCGGUAAU